rnacentral:rRNA from 1 species
AUGCACUCACUGGGCCUCGCGUUGGAAGUGAUAACGGAUGAGCGGAAGCAGUUACUUCCUAAAGGCAAGGGGACAGUCCCAAUUGAGAUUCUCCUGUGGGCAAUGGCAGAGGCGAUGGAGUCUCCAUAUCGUCGACAGCGAGCCCGCUGGUAUGAGUACUGCUCCCGCUUGUCCUCGUCGGAUCCGGAGGCGGAAGGGCCGGUGAAUUUGCGUAUUAUCCAGGACGCCGAUGAGGUGAUGGAUGAGGAGGAUAGUGAUGAGGAGAUGAUGAAGAAGAGGAGAGCUACCACGGAGGGUUGCAGACUAUCGCACAUGAGGAUGCACAAAGAGGAGGGCUAUCGGGGGGGGUGGAGAUCAUCACUCAUCCUGCUCAGGAAGACACGAAUCUAG